AUGAACGCUGGCGGUGUGGCUAAGGCAUGCAAGUCGAGGGGGCACUCCACUUAGAUCAUGAUGACGAAGUCAUCGCGCACUAAGUGGAGUGUCACCGGCAGACGAGGUAGUAACACGUAGGAACGAACCGCGAAGUCAGGGACAACCCAUCGAAAGAUGGGCUAAUACUUGAUAGUCUCGAAAGAGUAAAGAUUUAUCGCUUCGUGAUCGGCCUGCGGAAUAUCAGCUAGUUGGUAGGGUAAUGGCCUACCAAGGCUAUGACGUUUAGGAGAGCUGAGAGGCUGACCUCCACCGAUGGGACUGCGACACGGCCCAUACACCUACGGGUGGCUGCAGUCGAGAAUCUUCCACAAUGGACGAAAGUCUGAUGGAGCGACACCGCGUGACUGAUGACGCCUUUCGGGGUGUAAAGGUCUUUUAUGAGGGAUGACAUUGCGACAGUACCUCAUGAAUAAGGGGCUGCUAAUCACGU
rnacentral:rRNA from 1 species